rnacentral:rRNA from 1 species
GAUGAGCGCUGGCGGCGUGCCUAACACAUGCAAGUCGAACGGAGAUUACGGACGGAAGUUUUCGGAUGGAAGACUGUAAUUCUUAGUGGCGGACGGGUGAGUAACGCGUGGGCAACCUGCCCUAUACAGGGGGAUAGCAGCUGGAAACGGCUGGUAAGACCGCAUAAGUCGGCGAGACCGCAUGGUUUUGCCGGGAAAUGAGCAAUCAGGUAUAGGAUGGGCCCGCGUCCGAUUAGCCAGUUGGCAGGGUAAAAGCCUACCAAAGCAACGAUCGGUAGCCGGACUGAGAGGUCGGACGGCCACAUUGGGACUGAGACACGGCCCAAACUCCUACGGGAGGCAGCAGUGGGGGAUAUUGCACAAUGGAGGAAACUCUGAUGCAGCGACGCCGCGUGAGUGAAGAAGUAUUUCGGUAUGUAAAGCUCUAUCAGCAGGGAAGAUGAUGACGGUACCUGACUAAGAAGCCCCGGCUAACUACGUG